rnacentral:lncRNA from 1 species
UACAAGGGAUAAUGUCGGGUGUAGGGUAGGUUGAACAAAGAAGAAAAUUGGUUUAAAGUGUGGCGUUGGGAUGGGUAAAUAAUGGUAGGAAGGGAAACUUGAUGAUCGGAGUAAUAAGUGAUAAUGAUAAAAACUCGCAAGACUUUUCACUUUUUUUUCUUUCUUUCUUUUUUUUUAACUCGAUUUUUUUGUCACUUCUUUUUUUCCUUUUUUUUCGAUUUUUUUAAUUUUUUUUCCGAAUUUCUUCUCUUUUUUUAAAAAAUCUAAUACAAUAGUAAACUAAAUACAAGGAAGAGAAAAAAAAUUAAAUUCCAACUCAAAAUUUUUUUUGACUUUUUUAUUUUACGAACCUACUCUGAGCUUGAUACGAAU